UACGUAGGGAGCAAGCGUUGUCCGGAAUCAUUGGGCGUAAAGCGCGCGUAGGUGGCCAUGUAAGUCCGCUGUGAAAAGUCAAAGGCUCAACCUUUGAAAAGCCGGUGGAUACUGCAUGGCUAGAGUACGGAAGAGGCGAGUGGAAUUCCUGGUGUAGCGGUGGAAUGCGCAGAUAUCAGGAGGAACACCAAUAGCGAAGGCAGCUCGCUGGGACGUUACUGACACUGAGGCGCGAAAGCGUGGGGAGCGAACAGG
rnacentral:rRNA from 1 species